UACAGAGGUCCCGAGCGUUGUUCGGAUUCACUGGGCGUAAAGGGUGCGUAGGUGGUGAGGUAAGUCGGAUGUGAAAUCUCCGGGCUCAACCCGGAAAUGGCAUUGGAAACUACCUUGCUUGAGGAUUUGAGGGGGGAUUGGAAUACUUGGUGUAGCAGUGAAAUGCGUAGAUAUCAAGUGGAACACCAGUGGCGAAGGCGAAUCCCUGGGCUGACCUUGACGCUGAGACGCGAAAGCGUGGGGAGCGAACAGG
rnacentral:rRNA from 1 species